AUCGCUCCUUUUCCCAUUUACACUUUGUCAGUGGAAUUAACAUCUCCUUCACUGAACCAAUCGUAUAGCUGAACAAGAAUAUGUCAGCUGAAGGAGUUUUCUGAUCUUGGGUCUCCAAUGUCAGCAAACAGUAAGGGCCUCACUCAUGAGCUAGAAGUGUCUACAUUAGAUCAAGAGAUGAUACAAAUGAAGAAUGAAAACAUCAUUUGAAAAUUAUCUUCUUGAAAUCACUGUCUUGGUUCCCUAGGGGUGCUCUCCAAGCAUGGCACGAAGCCAGAGGGAAGUGGCAACAAUCACAUCGAGUAGCAAUAACAGACCAGCCUCUUGGGUGCUGAGCAAGUUGGACAAGGUAGGAAAUGAACGUUUGGAGAAGCAAAUGAAAAUAGUGGUGGAAACUGAGUUGACCAACACUCUGCUGUCUUGUACUUGCCCCUUUGUUGACCAUCUUGCUGCUGCCUCUCUGUUGUACAUGUCAUCCUGUGCAUGUUCUUUGAGGCAGGGACUGAGAAUCUAGCUCUACCGUGAAUCCGCUAUACUCAACACAAUGCCUGGUACAUGACAGGAGCUCUAUAAAUAUCCAUUAAAUGCUCAUUCAGUUAAAGUUUUUUGGAGCUUGUGUUCAGAGAAAGGCACAGAGCACCUACACAGUAAAUAUUUAUCGAAUUCUCUCAUUUGAGUGACUUCCUGAGCAUAGACUCAGGCCUAGAGAAGCACACCUCUGACUAAACUCCAUUCACAACCCCAAUCUCCCAGUAUAAUAAAUGUUCAGAGGCAGUCUUCUCGACUUCCGAUAUGCUCCAGAAAAGGCAGUUGCUUAAUAGCAAUCAAUCAACAGCUUUAGUUCUUUGCAGUGACUAUCAAUGUGUCUUGUAAAUUGCUGGCUUUCAACAAAUACUGUCUUUGACAAAACUGAGUUGAAAGUUCCAUUUAAUUUAGAUGGUGUUACGCAUAUAGUAAAUGUGGAUCCUAAGUGCCCCUCACCAUCUGUCUCAUUUCUGGAGUGAAAAGGAAGGAAAUUGCAAGUGAGCAUUGCAUUGGGAGUCUGAACAUCAGGACUUCCCUAGAUAUUAAAAAGGAUAUUACUGUGGGAACGCAUGCAGCAGGAGAUAAGACAUAGCACACUCCCUCACCUUUGGCACUUUUCAUUUUUUAUGUAACUUGGUCUCUUGAUGCUUAGAAUAGGCUCAACUAAAUACACUAGAAUAAAACACCUUAGACAUUUGUGACUUCAAAUGUUGACAAUAAGAAAUGUACUGGCAUCAUGAUUUUAGUCUCUGUAGACUAGACCAACAGCCUCCACUAUAACACAACCCCCAAGUCUCAAGUAGUGCAUUCAAGUUGCAGUGAUAU